UACGUAGGGGGCGAGCGUUGUCCGGAUUUAUUGGGCGUAAAGAGCUCGUAGGCGGUUUGGCAAGUCGGGUGUGAAAACUCCGGGCUCAACUCGGAGACGCCACUCGAUACUGCCAUGACUCGAGUCCGGUAGGGGAGUGCGGAAUUCCUGGUGUAGCGGUGAAAUGCGCAGAUAUCAGGAGGAGCACCGGUGGCGAAGGCGGCACUCUGGGCCGGUACUGACGCUGAGGAGCGAAAGCGUGGGGAGCGAACAGG
rnacentral:rRNA from 1 species